rnacentral:rRNA from 1 species
AUGCAAGUCACUGACACCCUGAUGCAUGUAAACGGUGCCCUCGUAGGCCCCCAGCGCAGCCCCCAGCGGGCAGAGCAGCCUCACCAGGAGGGCCCGGAGGCCGCUCCCGAAGUGUCAUCUGCUUCCACUACACCGCCAAGGGAGGAUUCCCCGGCAAGGGAGUGUUCUCCGGCAAGGGAAAAUUCUCCGGCAAGGGGUAGUCCUCCGGCAAGGGACAGCACCAACGAUCCUCCGGUGAUCUCGACCGCAGAUCUUAGCAUAGAUCCAUCUGCCACAGAGCCGAUGGAAAUUGAGGUCGCCGACGAGGAGAACGCGCGCAGCAGUGUUGACGACGCCGUCACCACCGAAGGAGAGGCCGGCGCUGAUGAUCCUGCUGGCGAAGAGGCCGCCAAGGCUGCCGCCGCAGAAGCCGGCGAGGGAUCUGGCGAUCGCACUGAUGGCCCUGAGGCCGCAGGAGCGCCAGGCGCUACGCCGACCGCUGAUCCCUCCGCCGCUGCUGCAGCGCCAGGCUUCGAAGAGCCCCAGCCCGGCGCCUAUCUGAAGGCCGGCGACGGCAUCUUCAUCAAGCUCCUCUGGGCUUCAAGCUCCAGGGCGCCGGUCGAAGGAGAGAUGCUGGACGGAGAAGUACUUGCCUCCGCUGGGCUGAAGCUGGUUGACGCGCCAAGCAGCAGCAGCGACGAGCCUGAGGAGGAGCGGCUGCUGCGGAAGCUGUUGUCACUCUACCGCGCCUGA